GUUAAUGGCACUAAUUAGGGAGAAAUUCAAACUGGUGUUGAGAAGUGUAUCCAGAAGUUUCUGGGUAUUGCAAGACAGAACUUAUUUUCCUACCAAAAAAUAUUGCAGUUAUCUUUCAGAAAACCAGAGCAAGGCAUCCAAAAGGAUAUGUUGGCAAUAAGGAAUAAAUUAUAAUGGAAAGAUGCUCUGGUCAAGAAACAUUUGAUAAAACAAAGGCAGGUGCUGGACAACAUCAACAGGGAGCACAAAAGCCUUCAGAAAUUCCUCAAAAGAACUUGAUGUACCUGGAAAAGGCUUCUGCUAAUAUCCCUGCACCU
rnacentral:lncRNA from 1 species